rnacentral:lncRNA from 1 species
AGUCCCUCCAGCAAGCAUCUGCCAGUGCUAAGAAGAAAAUAAACAGAGAACGUCUUGCAGUGGGCAGCCAUUUCAGGAGGUAAAUGCUGGGGGGUGGUGUUUGAACAGUGACGGAAGGACAUGAAGAAGCGAGCGUGUGAAGGUUUGGAAGAAGUACAAUCCACGCAGAAGAACCAGCAAGCCUUCUUUCCAUCUGGCAGUAUUAUGCAAGAUUCAGAACGAAUCUCCUCCUCCUCUCUUGCCUCUUCUCUUUUCUUUUAAAAAACCAAUUGAGAUUAUUAAAACCAAGAGGCCCCUAUCAAAGUUCUUUUACCCAAAAACUUUUGUCAAGUAGAACUCAUAUCUGGCUAAGUCACCUCCCACCUCCAGUCUCUUCAUCAGUCUCUUCAUCUGUCCAAUGUGAGGGUUGAUCCAGAUGCUCAGAGGGUUUUACUGGCAGAGGGGUAACGGGAUUUGUGUUGCCCAACCUGGGUUUGAAUCCUGGCUCUGCCAUUUCCUACCAAAGCAAUUGCGACAGUGUCUUCACC